rnacentral:rRNA from 1 species
AUUGAACGCUGGCGGCAUGCUUUACACAUGCAAGUCGAACGGUAACAGGGAGCUUGCUCCGCUGACGAGUGGCGAACGGGUGAGUAAUGCGUCGGAACGUGCCGAGUAGUGGGGGAUAACGCAUCGAGAGGUGUGCUAAUACCGCAUACGAACUGAGGUUGAAAGUGGGGGACCUUCGGGCCUCACGCUAUUCGAGCGGCAGACGUAUGAUUAGCUAGUUGGGGAGGUAAAGGCUCACCAAGGCUACGAUCAGUAGCGGGUCUGAGAGGAUGAUCCGCCACACUGGGACUGAGACACGGCCCAGACUCCUACGGGAGGCAGCAGUGUGGAAUUUUGGACAAUGGGCGCAAGCCUGAUCCAGCCAUUCCGCGUGUCUGAAGAAGGCCUUCGGGUUGUAAAGGACUUUUGUCCGGGAGCAAAUGCCUGGUGUUAAUAGCACUGGGAGCUGAGAGUACCGUAAGAAUAAGCACCGGCUAACUACGUGCCAGCAGCCGCAGUAACAC